rnacentral:lncRNA from 1 species
GCAGCACAGUGUGCUUUUGAGUUCCGGUGAACGGGGUGCUCUGGCUGGAGCCUAGUGCGAAGUUUCCCCUUCUCCGCCCAUUCCUCAUCCCUCAGGGCACACAGGUCACCUUUCCUCGCCUUCUCGUCCCCACCUCUAAGGCUUGGCCAAAGUUUCUUCAUAAAAGCAAGAAAGAUAACGAAAGAGCCCCCCAUGGGUUAUGGUUUUUGUGGGGCCAGGAAUGCCCAGUUUGAACCUCCAGUUCCGCCACCUGUAGCCGAGUGAAAGAGGCUGGGUUAUUCAGACACCCCAAGCCUCAGUUUCCCCACUUGUUGUGAGGCUUGAGUGUGCUAACACAUCAAGGCAACCCAGAACAGCGCUUGGCAGAGACUCGCAGUUUAUCACUGUGAACUGUCGUUAUUGGAAAGUGGGUGGAGUCGGGUUUGGAUUCCCCCAGGAGCAGAGACAGAAACAAAAGGAUUCAAGUGUGAAGAUAGAAGCUUCCUCCAGUGAAGCAGCAGCCCCGGCACUGGGCCUGCAGUGGAGACCGGGAAUGAGAGAAGCCCCUGGCGUGGGCUGGCAAGGACGCAGAGCACGGAGAGCACCUGGGGCAGGGCCGGCGCCAACGGCAUAACACAUGCUGCUGCUCCUCUCCCGCGGGGCCCAUGGAGAUGGCUGGAAGCAGCCCAACGUCAGGGCAGAUCCCUACCUUCACACUCACAUAAGAGAAGAGUGAAGUUUCGGGGACUCCACACCUCAAGGUAGUUCCACCGUGCGAGGUGCUGCGCUCACAGUAUUACUCAUGCACCUUUCUGAUAAGAAAAGUGAAAAUGUGAAGUUGAAAACUGAAGACGCCCAGCAACUUCCUGAAUCCAGCCCUCCACGUCCUGCCCUACGGGACGGACGACUCCCAAAGAGGAAUCGUUGGUGGAAGUCCCAUGUUUCGUUGCCGUUGGAAGGGGGAACUGGUCAAGGCAGGUUCGGUUUCAGGAUCUCACCUCACCUGGGAGCGGGGAGGUGACGGUCCCCCAGCGGGGCAGUCACGCCGCCCUGGCCUUGAGGCCGGACUCCACACUGCGCUUGGCUAGGGUGGUCCGUCCCUCUCUUGGCCACCUGUGUCGGGCAGCCUGACGCCGCAUCUUCCUGAGCAGCUGUCGGCGUUGCCGUGUGGCAGCCACGCUGUUGCAACAUGAGCGGCUGAGGUUUCUGAGGCCCCUCCGGCCAGAAGCUGGCCCAGGUGCUGUGGGCAAGACAUGUGCGAGAGACUGAAUUAGACCCCCUUGGAAAAAAAAACCACGCACACAAACACCAUCCUGCCUUUUUUUUUUUCAGGGCUCAUCUCUGGACCCACACCCCAUAACCAACAUGGAAGCCUGGAUUUGGCCCUGGAUCAGGCUGGCUCCCCAGGGAAGGGUCCAGUCUCUCCGGGGAGACAUCCCGACUUCGGGUCCUGCUUUCUCUACUGUAAUUCGAGGCUGGCCAUGCCCCUCAGUGGGCCUCAGUUUCCUCACCUGUACAGUGGGGAAAUCCAUAGGACCUACCUCCUGGGAGGGCACUGAGGACCGAGGGAAUGAAUGCCUGUCCAGUGCUCAUGAUCGUGACAAGCACUGCGCAGAAUAAAUCCGGAAUAAACGCUCACCGGGUGAGGGAGGGCAGGGAAGAUUUCUAAAAUCCCCCUGAUUUGAGAUGAGAUCUGAUUCACCCACUUAAAAAACCACAUUGGGAAAUAAUUUGAAAUGUACAGGAAAGUUGUAAGAAUCGCACAAAGAAUACUCCCAAACGUUUUGCCCAUACUCACCUGUUUUCUGUGGCAACUUUGAGACAGAAUUCACACGCCAUACAGUUGACCCAUCUCAACUGUACAAUUCAAUGGCCUUUCAUAGUCAGAGUUGUGCAACUGUCACCAGGGUCAAUUUUAGAACGUUUUCAUCACUCUCCUCUCACAAAAAACCCCUCACGUCCCUUGGCUGUCACUCUGCACCUAUUAAUAUUUUUUUGUGUUAAGACUUUUUCUUUGAG